GGCUCAGGAUGAACGCUAGCUACAGGCUUAACACAUGCAAGUCGAGGGGCAGCAUGUGGUUGCUUGCAACCAAUGAUGGCGACCGGCGCACGGGUGAGUAACGCGUAUCCAACCUUCCCCUUAGUAGAGGAUAGCCCGGCGAAAGUCGGAUUAAUACUCUAUGUUCUUCAAUGCGGACAUCUAAGUUGAAGCAAAGAUUUAUCGCUAAGGGAUGGGGAUGCGUCUGAUUAGGUUGCAGGCGGGGUAACGGCCCACCUGGCCUACGAUCAGUAGGGGUUCUGAGAGGAAGGUCCCCCACACUGGUACUGAGACACGGACCAGACUCCUACGGGAGGCAGCAGUGAGGAAUAUUGGUCAAUGGGCGCGAGCCUGAACCAGCCAAGUAGCGUGCAAGGACGACUGCCCUAUGGGUUGUAAACUGCUUUUAUCAGGGAAUAAAGUGAGGCACGCGUGCCUUUUUGUAUGUACCUGAUGAAUAAGGACCGGCUAAUUCCGUGCCAGCCGCGGC
rnacentral:rRNA from 1 species